CUCGCCAUGGUCUGUGUUACCGCCGUGCCGUCUUAAAAUUUUAUCGUGUACCAUCCAAAACACUACACGAACAAAAAAAACCGAGUCAGGGUGUGGCCGAGCUUAAAAAUGGGCACCUUUUUUUUCCCGAUGCGUCGUCCUAUGUGUAUUUUCUCAUUUGGAAUUUUCUACCAUUUUGCCUUGCAACGGAAUGCCAUCCGUGGCCCACACACACAUUUUUCUAAUGCUUUUAACGAUGAAAGAAGAACACGUUCACGUUUUUCCUCUUUCAGAAAAAAUACAUUAUCGUCAGUGACGAGCCGUCGGCACCCGACAAAGACACCUAUUUGACGCCGCUUUGUCCAAGUCGACGCCUUGUACAUCAAACGCACUGCGUAGACUUGCUUAAGAAUAAGCACAUUGUUUAAUUUCUUGUUUGUUUCUUUUCUUUUUUUUGCUUUCGUAAUGACGAGUCUGAUGGUAACACACACUAUCUCGCUGUUCUAUUUUCAGUUCGUGAGGAGGCCAGUAGGCGGGGUGUCGUCAGCUCAGCUCAGCUCGGGCGGAUUCUAACACCUUAUAAUGGAUAAACGAACUUCAUAACAGCCAUGACCUUAUUUUCCCCUUACACACACAAAAAACGCAGCCCUGCUGUCUCGCCUUUUCUGCUUCUUAAUAAUUUUUGUUUCUUUUAUGUAGAAAGGACGCUAUCUCUUCGUUUGGGGUCCAUACACCACGGGAGAUGAUUUUCUGAUUGUCUAUUUCACCUUGUUGCAUUUGAUGGCUGUCUCAUUAUCCGCUAAGGAUGCCGCUCUUUUGAUGGAUAGUGAUUUAACCACCUUCUCACUUUUAGUUCUCCAUCGAGAGGUGCAGCAAUGCAGGUGUGGCACCGUCUAUUCAUUCUCAUCCGCUGAGCCGCUGCUGCACAUCAAUAUUGGGCUUGAUUGAUUAGAAAAGAGCUUGUUACCUCACGAUUGGUCGAGAUAAAAUGAUGAAAUAACAGUGUACAGCUAGUUGCCAUCGCCCUUUGUCCACACAAUCGAUUUUUUUGUCUGACUGUCUAAUUAUUUUCGGUUGUCCUAAAGGAUUAACUGUCCGUUUGUUGAGCUCCGCCUUGUAUUCGACAUUUGAUAUCUAAAAUUACACCCAACGAAAAUGUA